rnacentral:lncRNA from 1 species
AAUUCUUAAUUUGGCUUAAUUACAUGGCGCACGAGAAACUAGUAGAGCGAGGUGGAGCAGGUAUCCUAUCCCCGGAAGUGCAUGCUUAUUUAUUUAUUUAUUUUUAUUAAUGGAUGAGGCAGUACUAUGUAUAUGUACACACACCAUACAUAGAUCUAUGUAAGGAAGAAGAAAUUCCUAACAAACAAGAGCCGGAAGCAUGCAUGCACUUGUACAGGAAGGAUCCUAACUACUAGGAGCUAGGCCAAAGUGAUCAUUAUUAGGCUAGUUUAAGCAGCACACUUGACGCAGGUGCAGCCAGUGCCGCACUUGCAUUGAACCUUGCCAGUAGCGGCAGUGGUGCCCUCACUCUUGGAACAUGUGCACGGAUUGCACCCACAGUGUUCUCCACAAGAGCACCUCUUGUGCUCCAUGUUCGCAUCACCCCCUGACACACACCUGCAUAUAUAUAUAUAUGGAGUAUAUUUCAAUCAGUGAGUGAAUAGAACUAUUCCUAUUAGAGAUCGAUCGAGUAGUAUAAAAUAUACCUGCAAGCAAUGCCACCGGGGCAGGGAGAAGGACAGCCACACCUUUCAUCGCAAAUAGCAGCACUUCCUCUUAGGUCAGCCAUAUCUCAGGCGGAGGCGGAUACUACUUAAUUAGUAUUAAGGGGGGAUAUGGGAAGCU